AUUGAACGCUGGCGGCAGGCCUAACACAUGCAAGUCGAACGAGUGGCGGACGGGUGAGUAAUGUCUGGGAAACUGCCUGAUGGAGGGGGAUAACUACUGGACACGGUAGCUAAUACCGCCUACCCUCCGAUGUGCCCAGAUGGGAUUAGCUAGUAGGUGGGGUAAAGGCUCACCUAGGCGACGAUCCCUAGCUGGUCUGAGAGGAUGACCAGCCACACGGGAACGGAGAAACGGUCCAGACUCCUACGGGAGGCAGAAGUGGGGAAUAUUGCACAAUGGGCGCAAGCCUGAUGCAGCCAUGCCGCGGGUGUGAAGAAGGCCUUCGGGUUGUAAAGCACUUUCAGCGAGGAGGCGUUACUCGCAGAAGAAGCACCGGCUAACUCCGUGCCAGCAGCCGCGGUAAUUC
rnacentral:rRNA from 1 species